GAUGAAGAACGCAGCGAAAUGCGAUAAGUAAUGCGAAUUGCAGAAUUUCCGUGAGUCAUCGAAUCUUUGAACGCACAUUGCACCCACUGGUAUUCCGGUGGGCAUGCCUGUUCGAGCGUCAUUAUCCUCCCUCAAACCCCGGGUUUGGUGUUGGACCCAAGUUGUGUGAACAACUGGUCUCAAAGACAAUGACGGCGUCCGUGGGACCCUCGGUGCAACGAGCUUUUAGGAGCACGCAUCGAGUUGCAAGGACCUUCCGGGCCGGUCUCCUUUACCAUUUUACAAGGUUGACCUCGGAUCAGGUAGGAAUACCCGCUGAACUUAAGCAUAUCAAUAAGCGGAGGA
rnacentral:misc_RNA from 1 species